UACGUAGGGGGCAAGCGUUGUCCGGAUUUAUUGGGCGUAAAGAGCGUGUAGGCGGCCAUACAGGUCCGUUGUGAAAACUCGAGGCUUAACCUCGAGACGUCGAUGGAAACCGUAUGGCUAGAGUCCGGAAGAGGAGAGUGGAAUUCCUGGUGCAGCGGUGAAAUGCGCAGAUAUCAGGAAGAACACCCGUGGCGAAGGCGGCUCUCUGGGACGGUACUGACGCUGAGACGCGAAAGCGUGGGGAGCGAACAGG
rnacentral:rRNA from 1 species